AUUGAACGCUGGCGGCAUGCUUUACACAUGCAAGUCGAACGGCAGCGCGGGCUUCGGCCUGGCCGCGAGUGGCCAACGGGUGAGUAAUUCAUCCGAACGUGCCCAGUAUUUGGGGCUAGCCCGGCGAAAGCCGGAUUAAUCCCGCAUCCGACCUCAUGGUGAAAGCGGGGGACCAACAGUCCUCGCGCUUUUGGAUCUCCCUAUGUCGGAUUAGCUAGUUGGUGGGGUAAAGGCUUACCAAGGCGACGAUCCGUAGCUGGUCUGAGAGGCCGACCAGCCACACUGGGACUGAGACACGGCCCAGACUCCUACGGGAGGCAGCAGUGGGGAAUCUUGGACAAUGGGGGCAACCCUGAUCCAGCCAUGCCGCGUGCGGGAAGAAGGCCUUCGGGUUGUAAACCGCUUUUGUUCGGGAAGAAAUCCUCUGGGAUAAUACCCCGGGGGGAUGACGGUACCGGAAGAAUAAGCACCGGCUAACUACGUG
rnacentral:rRNA from 1 species